rnacentral:rRNA from 1 species
AUUGAACGCUGGCGGCAUGCCUUACACAUGCAAGUCGAACGGCAGCACGGGGCAACCUGGUGGCGAGUGGCGAACGGGUGAGUAAUGCAUCGGAACGUACCUUUCAGUGGGGGAUAACGUAGCGAAAGUUACGCUAAUACUGCAUAUUCUGUGAGCAGGAAAGCAGGGGAUCGCAAGACCUUGCGCUGAUUGAGCGGCCGAUGUCAGAUUAGCUAGUUGGUGAGGUAAAGGCUCACCAAGGCGACGAUCUGUAGCGAGUCUGAGAGGAUGAUCCGCCACACUGGAACUGAGACACGGUCCAGACUCCUACGGGAGGCAGCAGUGGGGAAUUGUGGACAAUGGGGGCAACCCUGAUCCAGCCAUGCCGCGUGAGUGAAGAAGGCCUUCGGGUUGUAAAGCUCUUUCGGCCGGGAAGAAAUCGCACGGGCUAAUACCCUGUGUGGAUGACGGUACCGGAAUAAGAAGCACCGGCUAACUACGUGCCAGCCGCCGCGGUAACAC